rnacentral:lncRNA from 1 species
CUACACAUGCUAUGGUAUUCGGGUAUUCGGGUGGGUAAUCGAGAUGGGUUCGGUGAGUCUUUUUUAUUUUUCAUCGAGCGUGAACGUAGCCAGGAAUCCACGAUGCACGGCAAUGGUCGCGUGGGAGUUGGUGAAUCGGUGAGCAUUUAAAAAUCUUAGUCGCGUCGCUCACCGAUCGAGUUGGCGGUUGACCAGCCGAUGCACGUACCGUGGCGGAUGAUUUGGAUUUGAAUCCAGUUAACGACAAAACAUAAUCGGCGGACAGAAGGGUUUCGUUUCGUUCGUUGGUUCGUUCGUUCACGUGUUUGAAAUCGAACUGAGAUGAGAUCGCAGGUAAUUUCCACUGACAACAGACCGACAGACAGAUAAAUAGUUAAAUUAAUUUUUCCAAUUCGCUUCUAUAAAUACAUACUUGAUGGUGCACCAGUGCACUGCCCGAGUGCCCGGCUAUUGUAGCCCACUUAACACGUGUUUGAUUUACAAUGUUGGAUUUUUAUUAAAAAAACCCAAAGGUAAAAUGUAAUGUAGUUGUACGCAAGUUGAUUUGGAAUAAAGAUUAUCGUAGCAUGGGUCGAUCAGUAAUAUAUAUAGGGUUGGUCGAUCGUUAUCAUCCUUCAGGGGCAGGGCAGGGCAGUAAUUCAUGGGAAUCCGUGGGACAGGUGCUCUCAUGUGCUCAAUAACAUGCACACAGAGCUUUCGAUCUUGGUUGUUUAAUUGAUUCUAUAAUUGUUGCUGACUAAGUCAAACAUAAGAUGCAAG